CCCAGUUCCGUUCCGCUGCUGCGGGGUAUGAGGCGCCUCUGCGAACGAACCUGGUUGGAGACUUCCCAGGAGCGCUGAUGUCUGCCAGGGCGUCUUUCAGCUGAUACUGGCAAAAUGGCGAGAGGUAUGCUAGGAUCCGGCUGGCAAAAGGAGCGCCCCAAUCUGGAGAACAAGUUUCGGGCCUGCAAAGUCCUCCAGAGCCAAGUUCAGCCUGAGGCGUGACUCAGCAAUGGCGUCCCUUCCCUGGUAGCUUCUACAGAAUGGAAGGAAGUUUGUCCCAGCCACACCAGGUGGCAGUGUGACCCACGCCUGCCUCACCACCAAGGCAAGUGUGUGAGGAAAAACAAUGCAGUGAUUCUACGAAGAAAACAUUUGAAAAUGAUAUCCCAUAAAAGGGUUAAAUGAACUCAAUUUUCUGUAUUUAAUCAGAGAUUCCAAGACUUGCAUGAUUUAUAGGACAGCCGCUGACAGGAAAAAGUGAAAAAAAAAAGUCAUUAUUUGCACUGUCAACAUGUAUACAGAGAGAAAUAAAUAUGUAUCGUGGCAGACAAGAGGAAAUCUUUGCAUUAUAUAAAGGAAUAGAAGUAAUCAUAUUGAAAGUGAAUGUUAUUAUACUAUUUUGUAAAUAUGAGAAUAGCUGUAAAAGGCACAAUUAUUCUUCAGAAUUCAGAUGCUCAGACUACCCUACCUAUCAAAAACUGAGAUUAUUCUGAUUCUCAAGAAACAAUAUUUUUGAAGUUAUAAAAUGGUUGCGUUUUGGUGCAGGUGAAUGAUUUCUGCAAACUAUUUUCCAUGCACAUUUAUACCAUUAUUGUGUUAAAGUUAGGAUUACAGCUGAAGUCCCUCUGAAUUUGGGAUAUGGUAAAAUAAGGGGUAACUGCAUUAUUCUGGUAUCAGUGUAGUAGGGAAGAACAGAUCUGACUCCAUAUCAGAUCUGUUCCUUUGUCUCUAACCCUGUGCUCUGUUUUUGGUGCUUAGUCAUGCUGGCUCUGCACCUUUUCUAAAAGAAUGUUGCCGAUAGCCUGAAAUAUAUAGGAUAGCCCAUUCUCAAGGUUCUGAUCUUUAAGGGUAUAACACUUUCCCAUUCAUAUAAAGAUUAAAAAAUUGCAGAAUAGAAAAUAACUUUUGUCUUAUUGGAGGGUUGCAGGAAUGCCAUGACCUGACCUAUGUGGACAGCUGCAAGAACAAAGGAUUCUGACACCAAGAAGCUUGCAACAACCAACCAAACCUCCUCCCCUUUUUAGUAUAAAAAGAGCUUAAAUUCUAACUUGGGGAAGAUGGCUCUCUAGGACAUUUGUUCUCCAUCUUCUUGGUUGGCUGGCUUUCCAAAUAAAGUCAUUAUUCCUAGCCCCAACACCUCGUCUCCUGAUUUAUUGGCCUGUCAUGCAGCAAGCAGAAUGAGUUUGGACUUGGUAACAUCAGUAUCAUAGUCCUCCACGAAGUAGCACACUCUGCAAUACUUGGGGCCAAGGGAAGUCACAAUAACCAUCAGAGAGGGAAGAAUUUAGUCCUUUGUUGGAAAGUUGAGGCGAAACUAACCCUUUGGCUCUUUCCCCUGGGUUGGAGCCAUCACAGCAGCAGUCCCUUGAUCCUAAACAAUGGCAAAUGGAACCAGAACACAUGGGAGCCAGAUGGCAUCAUCUACUACCACAGCAGGGCAGGCAUAAGAAGUGAAUAUGGGGCCAUGGCAAUGAAGAAUAAUGCAGAAAUUCAGAGGCCACAACACUCCAUCCUUCUAACUAGGCUGCAUGCACCAAAGUGACCCUGGUGAGGAGACCACCAAAGUGUCCACUGCAGCUGGAGACCUGACACAGACAUGGCCGCUACUCACAGCCCAGUGAUUUGUAGACUCACAUUUUGAAAACAAAUUGUCAGCCUAAAUAAAGAGGUGAACUGAAGCAAAUUUCAAUGACCAGAAGUUAAGUUUAUUGUGGAAUAGCAGAGGAAUGGUAAUUUAGGAAAUGCAAACUGUAGCAAGCUACAAGCGAGUCCCUUGAGGGUUUGGAGUGGGCUGUAUUUAUGGGAAAAUGUACAAAAAUAGGGUCCACCCAGAGUCUAGCUGUAAGCUCACUGGCCUGAGGAUGGGGAGAGAUUCUUAGUGGAUAUUUAUUGGUCAGGAGAUGAGUUUCCAGUGUUCGAUAAAUCAGGUAUUUAGGAGAAGUCAUUCUCUCAGUUCGUAAGUUGCAUUUUCGUGAGAGCCCAUGUGUGAGAUUCUCCAUCUCAUGUACUUGGGUUCCAUUUUGGAUUGAAAUCUUUUUACAGAAUUGAGACAAUUAUGACUUUCCUUUAACCGUACUAGUGUCUAGAAACGUUGUUUCUGGAAGAAAACUCAGCCGCUAUUUAGU